rnacentral:rRNA from 1 species
UACGAAGGGGGCUAGCGUUGCUCGGAAUUACUGGGCGUAAAGGGCGCGUAGGCGGACAGUUUAGUCAGAGGUGAAAGCCCAGGGCUCAACCUUGGAAUUGCCUUUGAUACUGGCUGUCUUGAGUUCGGGAGAGGUGAGUGGAAUGCCGAGUGUAGAGGUGAAAUUCGUAGAUAUUCGGCGGAACACCAGUGGCGAAGGCGACUCACUGGCCCGAUACUGACGCUGAGGCGCGAAAGCGUGGGGAGCAAACAGGAUUAGAAACCCU